AGGGAAACCGAGUCUUAACCGGGCGUUAAGUUGCAGGGUAUAGACCCGAAACCCGGUGAUCUAGCCAUGGGCAGGUUGAAGGUUGGGUAACACUAACUGGAGGACCGAACCGACUAAUGUUGAAAAAUUAGCGGAUGACCUGUGGCUGGGGGUGAAAGGCCAAUCAAACCGGGAGAUAGCUGGUUCUCCCCGAAAGCUAUUUAGGUAGCGCCUCGUGAACUCAUCUCCGGGGGUAGAGCACUGUUUCGGCUAGGGGGCCAUCCCGGCUUACCAACCCGAUGCAAACUGCGAAUACCGGAGAAUGUUAUCACGGGAGACACACGGCGGGUGCUAACGUCCGUCGUGAAGAGGGAAACAACCCAGACCGCCAGCUAAGGUCCCAAAGUCAUGGUUAAGUGGGAAACGAUGUGGGAAGGCCCAGACAGCCAGGAUGUUGGCUUAGAAGCAGCCAUCAUUUAAAGAAAGCGUAAUAGCUCACUGGUCGAGUCGGCCUGCGCGGAAGAUGUAACGGGGCUAAACCAUGCACCGAAGCUGCGGCAGCGACACUCAGGUGUUGUUGGGUAGGGGAGCGUUCUGUAAGCCUGUGAAGGUGUGUCGUGAGGCAUGCUGGAGGUAUCAGAAGUGCGAAUGCUGACAUAAGUAACGAUAAAGCGGGUGAAAAGCCCGCUCGCCGGAAGACCAAGGGUUCCUGUCCAACGUUAAUCGGGGCAGGGUGAGUCGACCCCUAAGGCGAGGCCGAAAGGCGUAGUCGAUGGGAAACGGGUUAAUAUUCCCGUACUUGGUGUUACUGCGAAGGGGGGACGGAGAAGGCUAUGUUGGCCGGGCGACGGUUGUCCCGGUUUAAGCGUGUAGGUGUGUGUUCCAGGUAAAUCCGGUCCACUUUAACACUGAGGCGUGAUGACGAGGCACUACGGUGCUGAAGCAACAAAUGCCCUGCUUCCAGGAAAAGCCUCUAAGCAUCAGGUAACAUCAAAUCGUACCCCAAACCGACACAGGUGGUCAGGUAGAGAAUACCAAGGCGCUUGAGAGAACUCGGGUGAAGGAACUAGGCAAAAUGGUGCCGUAACUUCGGGAGAAGGCACGCUGACACGUAGGUGAAGUGAUUUACUCA
rnacentral:rRNA from 1 species